CGGCACGGGUGAGUAACACGUAUGCAACCUGGCCGUGACAGAUGGAUAACCGGGAGAAAUCCCGCCUAAUACAGCAUGAUGCCGGGAAGGGACAUCCCUUUCCGGCCAAAGGGGGCGACUCCGGUCACGGAUGGGCAUGCGGCGCAUUAGGUAGUUGGUGGGGCAACGGCCCACCAAGCCGACGAUGCGUAGGGGUUCUGAGAGGAAGGUCCCCCACACUGGUACUGAGACACGGACCAGACUCCUACGGGAGGCAGCAG
rnacentral:rRNA from 1 species